AGUACGGCCGCAAGGCUAAAACUCAAAAGAAUUGACGGGGGCUCGCACAAGCGGUGGAGCAUGUGGCUUAAUUCGAUGCAACGCGAAAAACCUUACCGGGGCUUGACAUGAUAGAAGUAGGAACCUGAAAGGGGGACGAACGGUAUCCAGUCCGUAGCUAUUACAGGUGUUGCAUGGCUGUCGUCAGCUCGUGUCGUGAGACGUUGGGUUAAGUCCCCUAACGAGCGAAACCCUUGUUUUUAGUUACCAGCGGGUUAUGCCGGGUACUCUAGAAAGACUGCCGUCGUCAAGACGGAGGAAGGUGGGGAUGACGUCAAGUCAUCAUGGCCCUUAUGCCCCGGGCUGCACACGUGCUACAAUGGUCGGUACAGACGGAAGCGAAGCCGAGAGGUGAAGCGAAUCCUAAAAAGCCGAUCUCAGUUCGGAUUGGAGGCUGAAAUUCGCCUCCAUGAAGUUGGAAUCGCUAGUAAUCGCGGAUCAGCAAUGUCGCGGUGAAUAUGUUCCCGAGCCUUGUACACACCGCCCGUCAAGCCACCCAAGCAGGAUGCACCCGAAAACAUUAUAUCUAACCAGGGCAACUUGGAGGAAAAUGUUGAAGGAGUGUUUUGUGAGGAGGACUAAGUCGUAACAAGGUAGUCGUAGGAGAACCUGCGGCUG
rnacentral:rRNA from 1 species